rnacentral:rRNA from 2 species
AAGCGGAUUUCCCUGUGUAGCGGUGAAAUGCGUAGAUAUGUGGAGGAACACCAGUGGCGAAGGCGGCUUUCUGGUCUGUAACUGACUCUGAGGCGCGAAAGCGUGGGGAGCAAACAAGAUUAUAUACCCUGGUAGUCCACGCCGUACACGAUGAGUGCUAAGUGUUAGAGGGUUUCCGCCCUUUAGUGCUGCAGCUAACGUAUUAAGCACUCCGCCUGGGGAGUACGGCCGCAAGGCUGAAACUCAAAGGAAUUGACGGGGGCCCGCACCAGCGGUGGAGCAUGUGGUUUAAUUCGAAGCAACGCGAAGAACCUUACCAGGUCUUGACCUCCUCUGACACUCAUAGAGAUAGGACUUCCCCCUCCGGCGGACAGAGAGACGGGUGGUGCGUGGCUGCCCUCCGCUCGUGUCGAGAGAUGUUGAGUUAACUCCCGCCACGAGCGCAACCCUUGAUCUUAGUUGAUAGCAUUCAGGUGGGCACUCUAACGAGAGUGCCGGAGACAA